UUUUUUUUUUUUUUUUUUUUUGGUUGGCUUCUUGUGAAUAAAUCUAAUUAUUUGUUUAUGAUUUUGGUGAUCACACUAAUUGUGAUUGAUUGCUUUACCGAAGGGCUGUCAAAGUUUUAAUUUAUGAAUAACUGUAAUCCAAGGUUCUGUCAUCAAUUAAUUGGAUGUAUUUGUGUUUUCAUCAAGUUAUUUCACAUUACUCGCCUGCUUCUGUGCUAACAGUAGAUUGGUACAGGGCAUGGUUUAACACCAGACCUAUAUAACAAAUUUUGCUACUUCCUAAUCUUUGUGCACUGUUGAACUUCCUAUUAUUUUUGCUUCAAGUAAGUUGUCUGCCGAAUCUUACCCUGUCAACUGUUGUAUGAUGAUCUGUUCUGCCAUUGCUUAGUUACACUUAUUUUUUUUUUUGUCUUUGUUUCUGAAGUAUUGUCUCAAAAAAUAAAUAGCUGAAUUAUUUUUUGUGCUAACAUGUAUAUGUAAAUAUCAAGUUUGUUUAAGUAGCAGGCUUUAAAUAUACUCAGCUAAUAUCUCCCUUUUUUUUGUUUCAGACUAACUAUCAAUUUUAGAUGAGUGUCUUAAUUAUAUUGCAGUAAACUUUUUUAUUUCACAACACUCCGAUUUUUAUUUGUUCAGAACUAGAUGAUCUAGUCAUCAGAAUUCUGUUGUUUUUAUUUAUAUGUUUUAAAUAUGCAGAAUUGUAAUUGACGUUAGAAUUGGAAAAGCUUUAAAGGUUACACAUUUUUGUAUUUUAUUAGCUUUUGUGCCCAGAAACAUAAAUUUCAGAGAUACUUUGGAAGUUUGUUUUUUUGCUGUAUCCUGAAGAAAAAUAUAGGUCUAUUAAUUCUGUAAUAAUUAGACUUACUUAUGUGUUUAGUUUACUAAUACCUUUAUAGAAACUAAAUGAAUCCUUAUUAGUUGUGGCUUUAAAAUUGAUGAUACACUUAAGCAGAUAUAGUCUCUAACAGGGUAUUAAACUUGGUGAUAUUUUAUAGAAAAACUAUUCCCAUAAUAUAUAUAUAUAUAUAUAUAUAUA